rnacentral:rRNA from 1 species
UAGGGAAUCUUCGGCAAUGGGGGCAACCCUGACCGAGCAACGCCGCGUGAGUGAAGAAGGUUUUCGGAUCGUAAAGCUCUGUUGUAAGAGAAGAACGUGUGUGAGAGGGGAAAGUUCACACAGUGACGGUAACUUACCAGAAAGGGACGGCUAACUACGUGCCAGCAGCCGCGGUAAUACGUAGGUCCCGAGCGUUGUCCGGAUUUAUUGGGCGUAAAGCGAGCGCAGGCGGUUUAAUAAGUCUGAAGUUAAAGGCAGUGGCUUAACCAUUGUUCGCUUUGGAAACUGUUAAACUUGAGUGCAGAAGGGGAGAGUGGAAUUCCAUGUGUAGCGGUGAAAUGCGUAGAUAUAUGGAGGAACACCGGUGGCGAAAGCGGCUCUCUGGUCUGUAACUGACGCUGAGGCUCGAAAGCGUGGGGAGCAAACAGG